CUCUGUGUUUAAAAUAAAUUUUUUUCAAAAGCUUUUUGAACAGACUUAUUUACAUAUAACAUUUUUCCAAAAUAAGUGUUUUCUGUUACUUAUUUGUUGGUGGUAGGACAAGAACUGUUGUAUGUGAAAGGCCAGGGAAGAGAUUUAAAAUUAAAAGUUGUCUGUGGUGCAACAAAAGCCAACGAAAUCUUCUUGGCUUUCCAUGCAAGUGCCUCGGGAGGUCACACUGGCCAAAAGAAAACACGAGAUGCCAUUGCUAGACGCUUCUACUGGCCUGGAAUGACAGCAGACAUAAACAAAUGGGUAUCAGAGUGUGAAGUGUGUCAGUCUGCAGGGUAUAAAAUAAAAGACACCAUUGAACAUACCCCAAUAAAGGUUUCACAUCCUUUCGAGCUUAUUGGAAUGGACCUUAUAGGGAAACUAAAAACCACAAAAAAUGGAUC